rnacentral:rRNA from 1 species
GUCUAUGGCCAUGCCACCCUGAAUGUGUCCGAUCUCGUCUGAUCUCAGAAGCUAACCAGGGUUGGGCCUGGUUAGUACUUGGAUGGGAGACACCCGGAAAUACCAAGUGCUGUAGGCG